UGCGCUGAUAAGAAGUGAGAUGAGUGGAGAGCUAAGUGGAAAGAAAGAAAGAAAGAAAGAAAGAAAGAAAGAUGUAGCUGGAACAGUCUCCAAAGGCCAGCACACCUGAGAGUUGGCCAUCCAAGCCAUGUUUAAAGAUCUCCAAGGAAAGAGAAUCCAGCAGCACACAAGGGAGGAGAUAAAAGGAGCAGGUGGUUUCAUUUCUCUUGCUUUCCACACAUUUCUUGGGAAUUGAAACCUACUGGACUAACCUUGAUUGACCUGUUAUUGGCCCUGCCUCCUUGGUGGAUCUUUAAAAGGAGACAAAGAGAGAGAAGAGAGAGACUACCCUUGCUUUCUAGCAAAGGCAGCAUGGCAAAGCUGGUGAUUGGAGCACUGGUAGGCCUUGGUAAGUUGCUUCUUUUACCUCCGUUAGAGAAAGGGAAAGCAUUCCUUAGCGGGGAAUCUGUAGCGUAUAUAGUAGACUGUUGUCACUGGCAAGGAAGAGAAGCCGCCAUGGGAUCUUGUACAAGUCGAUGGGUUUCUCCCUUUAGGCCACGAUCCAGACAGUCCAGUUAGGGAGUCAAAAAUACAGAUUAGGAAUGUGAAGUGGAAGGCUUUUAUGGCCGGCAUCCAUUGUUUUUUUGUAAGUUUUCAGGCUAUGUGGCCAUGUUCUAGAAGAGUUUAUU